rnacentral:rRNA from 1 species
UACGUAGGGGGCUAGCGUUGUCCGGAAUCAUUGGGCGUAAAGAGCGCGUAGGCGGCUCGGUAAGUCCGCUGUGAAAGUCCAGGGCUCAACCCUGGAAUGCCAGUGGAAACUGUCGAGCUAGAGUCCGGAAGAGGCGAGUGGAAUUCCUGGUGUAGCGGUGAAAUGCGCAGAUAUCAGGAGGAACACCAAUGGCGAAGGCAGCUCGCUGGGACGGUACUGACGCUGAGACGCGAAAGCGUGGGGAGCAAACAGG